AACGCGAAGAACCUUACCUAGGCUUGACAUGCUUGAAGUAGUCCUGGUGAAAGCCGGGGCGACCGUAUCCAAUCGGAGUCUUGCACAGGUGCUGCAUGGCUGUCGUCAGCUCGUGCUGUGAAGUGUUGGGUUAAGUCCCGCAACGAGCGCAACCCUCGUCCUCUGUUGCCAUCAGGUCAAGCUGGGCACUCUGAGGAGACUGCCUCGGUUAACGGGGAGGAAGGUGGGGAUGACGUCAAGUCCUCAUGGCCUUUAUGCCUAGGGCUACACACGUGCUACAAUGGUCAGGACAAAGGGUUGCUACUUCGCAAGGAGAUGCCAAUCCCAAAAACCUGGCCCCAGUUCGGAUGGUCGGCUGCAACUCGCCGGCUUGAAGCUGGAAUCGCUAGUAAUCGGAGAUCAGCACGCUCCGGUGAAUACGUUCCCGGGUCUUGUACACACCG
rnacentral:rRNA from 1 species